rnacentral:rRNA from 14 species
GGAGCUAGCUGGUUCUCCCCGAAAUGUGUUUAGGCGCAGCGGUUAAUGUUAUAAUUUAGGGGUAAAGCACUGUUUCGAUGCGGGCUGGUAAUUCGGUACCAAAUCGUGGCAAACUAAGAAUACUAAAUGAAUAAUUAACCAGUUAGACUGUGGGGGAUAAGCUCCAUUGUCAAGAGGGAAACAGCCCAGAUCACCAGUUAAGGCCCCAAAAUAAUUACUAAGUGGUAAAGGAUGUGAGUUUGCAUAGACAAUCAGGAGGUUUGCUUAGAAGCAGCAACCCUUUAAAGAAUGCGUAAUAGCUCACUGAUCGAGUAGAUUUGCGCCGAAAAUGAACGGGACUAAGUAAUUUGCCGAAACUGUGAGAUAUUUUAAAAUAUCGGUAGGGGAGCGUUCUGUUGUAGGUUGAAGCAUUAACGGAAGUGGAUGUGGACGAAGCAGAAGUGAGAAUGUCGGCUUGAGUAGCGAAAAUAUAGGUGAGAAUCCUAUACCCCGAAAACCCAAGGUUUCCUCCGGAAGGCUCGUCCGCGGAGGGUAAGUCAGGACCUAAGGCGAGGCUGAAAAGCGUAGUCGAUGGAUAACGGGUUAAUAUUCCCGUACCAUUUUUUAUUGACAACGAGGGACGGAGAAGGCUAAACUAGCCGGAUGUUGGUUACCGGUUUAAACGUUUAAGAUGCUGAUAAAUGGCGAAAACAUUUUGAGUCAAGACGUGAAUAGGAGAUGUUACGGCAUCGAAGUAGUCUAUGUCAUACUUCCAAGAAAAGCUUGCACUGUCAUAAAUAAAAAAUGCCUGUACCAUAACCGACACAGGUGGGUAGGUAGAGAAUACUAAGGGGCGCGAGAUAACUCUCUCUAAGGAACUCGGCAAAAUGACCCCGUAACUUCGGGAGAAGGGGUGCCAGCGAGAGCUGGUCGCAGUGAAGAGGCGCAAGCGACUGUUUACCAAAAAC